GAGUUAUUUAGGAUUUAUUACCGUUCUUCGAAAUGGAAUGGCAUGAUAUUAGAAAUGGAGAAAAGAGAGAGGGAGAGAUGGAAGGAGGAGGGAGGUAGAUAAGUGUCACGUUCAUCGUAAUAAUUGGACCAAGGUGCAGCGCGAUAUGGUUUCCACAUAUUUAAUAAUAGAAACACACAAAACAACAAAGAAAGAACGGAACAAACAACGAACUGUAACUAAGAGGUGCUACGUAACUCAAAACAAUAUCCCAUCAAACACAGGUGGAAAAAUGCGUCUUAAAUUUGAUCCCCCAAUUAGAGACAACUUGUGCCUCUAAUUGGGAAUCAUACAAAUCACCAACAUAGAAAUAAUAAACUAGAACCCCCACAUAGAAAUAAUAAACUAGAUCACCCCCAGUCACACCCUGACCUACUACACCAUAGAGAAACAAGGGCUCUCUAUGGUCAGGGCGUGACAAUAAGAGAGAGAAAGAUAGAGGGAGAGAGAAAGAGAAAGAAGAGAGAGGGAGAGAGAGAGAGAGAAGAGAGGGAGAGAGAGAGAGAGGGAGGGAGAAAGAGAAGAGAGAGGGAGAGAGAGAGAGAAGAGAGAAGAGAGGGGGUGAGAAAGAGAAGAGAGAGAGAGAAGAGAGAGAGAGAGAGAGAGAGAGAGAGAGAGAGAGAGAGAGAGAGAGAGAGAGAGAAAGAAAGAGAAGAGAGAGAGAGAGAGAGAGAGAGAGAGAGAGAGAGAGAGAGAGAGAGAGAGAGAGAGAGAGAGAGAGAGAGAGAGAGAAAGAAAGAGAAGAGAAAGAGAAAGAGAGAGAGAGAAGAGAGGGGGAGAGAAAGAGAAGAGAGAGAGAAGAAACAGAGACAGACAUGCUCAUUUUUAACACUAACUUAAUAUUUGAACAAGGUGCAUCUUUAUCUCCUUGCCCGUUAAUAUGUUGAUAAGCUGCAUCCUGAUGAAAUGAGGCAGGAACUAAAUCACGAAAUCUUCUAUUUAAAAAAAAAAAAAAGGAAAUGAAUUGUACAGUAUAAAUCAGAUAAAGGUGUACUCGGUGUGUUGGUUAGAUUAAUAGAAGGGUUAGAAUCUAACAUUAUUAACAGUUAGAUAACAGUUCAGCGUACAUUAACAGAAGGUGAACAGUUUGACUCCCAAAUGUCAUCACAUGGACCACAUUCGGAUGGAAUGUACUGAAGAGGGAAUAUAGUGCCAUGUGGGAGGCAGGUCUGGGUUCAGCUCUAAACCCUAGAGGAAUGCCCUUCAUUUGGAGGAAUGCCCUUCAUUUGGUGCCAUGUGGGAGGCAGGUCUAAGUUCAGCUCUAAAC
rnacentral:lncRNA from 1 species